GCCUAGUGGAUCCAACAGAUUUUUACUUUAUAAAACAGAUUUUGCUGUAUUUGUACUUUUUUUUUCAUCUCCCCCUGAGGAGUAUUAACUCAAAGCAAUCACAAGACACCAUCCUUGCCUGCUGCUUCUUGGGCUGCUACUUGUAUCUUCUUCAUUCCUUACUGCUUCUCUAACCAUUUGAAUCCUCUUUUUAAACUGCCUUCUGCUCCUAAAAUGAUAACCCUGUCAUUUGGGAAAGGCUAACCAUGUAAAAGCAUUUUCAUUUCUGUAGCAUUCACUUUCAUUUACUCUCUUCUUUCUGUUCAAGUUAAGCAGUGCAACGUGCUGUAUAAAUAGCAAAGCCUGUACUACAUCCAGUUUUGAAGUAUUUUUAAAAUGAAGUAUUGAAAAAAGAAGAGACAAACUGCAAGGAAAAUGCCAAGCUGCUCCUGAGCCUGAUGACGAUAUACGUAUUUUGUCUUGGUUACCUGAGCAAUCUCCAGAAGCUUGAAUGGAUUACAAUAGUAUUCUAACAAGGCUCCAGGCAUCAUCAACAGCUCUCAUCUACAGAAGAAGAUAAGAGAUGGAAGAAUGUAAUUAUUUCCAUGUAAGCUAAAUUCCAGUAGCUGACUGCCAUGAGAGGAAAGCCCUGAAAACUUUGCUGUCUGAAAUGUUUUAAUCUCCUAUAAGACAAAUAGGUUAGCUCUUCUCUUUAAAUAUUGUCACUGAAGCUUUUCUAAAGGUGGGACAUACAGUUUCUUGGCUUUUAACAGAAAAGUCCCUCUGACACCACGUAUCUGGGAAUGAAGAACUUCUCAGAGCUGAUUGGAAAUGGCAUUGCUGCGCUGAAACUUAACUGGAGGAAAUACAUCUCCCGAAGAAGAGAAUAUAAUGCACUUUAAGGAUCUGACUUCUGGUGAAAAAUUCAAGCCUAGAGAAAACUUGUCCGCUUUAUUAAGAAGAAUGGGUUGGACAAUCUUCUUCAAUUCCAAAAGAUAUCUGUAUGCCAUGCUGAGCUUAAUCUCUGCAGCAUGCUCUCUGCUUUUCUUUUCCUCCUGAUGCACUGCAUGGUUAGCCUGAGGAGAAGGAUAAAGAAACUGGCCACCAAGAUGGUAAUCACUAGUGGAAAUGAAGAAGAUAAAGGCAAUCAAGAAAAGGAGAGCAAAGAAGAAACCAUCCUGGCAAUGCUUGGGAUUAUUGGAACAAUUCUGAACCUCAUUGUGAUCAUUUUUGUGUACAUUUACACAACAUUGUGAGCCAGAAGGCACACGAGAACCAUGGCGACAACAAACAUUGUAGCCUAUUGACAUGUUGCUUAAUCAGAAUUGAUUCUGUACUAUAUUACCACAUCAUAAAAGCUCUGCCUGCAGGCAGCAAAAGCUGAAGCACGAUUAAUUUAACAAGACUUUUUCACGCAGUAACAAGCUAAACUCUUCUGUCCUGCUCCUUUCCUUUUUUAUUUGGGUUUGGUUUUAGAGAAAUGACUGCAAUUAUGUAAGUAGCAGCUUUGAAGAACUCAAUCUCGGAUACAAACACAAUAGAAAGAGACUGAACACUAUUUAGAAUUACUAAUGUAUACUGUAUACUCUUAAAGAUAGCUACAUAGCACCGAUUUUGGGUCCAUUAGGUCAAUUUUUUUUCUCCUUGACUUUUCAAUUUUAUUUACAUUGAAACUGACAGGCUUUUUAUUUAGAAUGAACAUAUGGUGCAAUCAUAGGAAAACAAUUCUGUUGAGCAAGAUCUGCCUAAAAACAACAAAAUGUUGGGGGAAAUAAGUGACUAUUAUUUUUUCUUUCUCAUUUGCUUGACAUUUGUGUCUGUUCAUACCAAUGUUUAUAAAUAUAUAUUUUUAAUAAAUGUGCUAUAUUUUUAGCAUGAACCAAAUAUUUGGAGACA